rnacentral:tRNA from 1 species
CCUUAGCUCAGUUGGUAGAGCAACUGACUUUUAAUCAGUGGGUCGCAGGUUCGAUUCCUGCAGG